AGUGGGAUUGCUGGGUCAGAUGGUGGUUUCAUUCCAAGUUUUCCAAGGAAUCUCCAACUGUUUCCAGAUUGGCUGCACCAAUUUGCAGUCCCACCAGCAAU
rnacentral:pre_miRNA from 1 species